rnacentral:rRNA from 1 species
AUACGUAGGGGGCGAGCGUUGUCCGGAAUGAUUGGGCGUAAAGGGCGCGUAGGCGGCCCGGUAAGUCUGGAGUGAAAGUCCUGUUUUUAAGAUGGGAAUUGCUUUGGAUACUGUCGGGCUUGAGUGCAGGAGAGGUAAGUGGAAUUCCCAGUGUAGCGGCGAAAUGCGUAGAGAUUGGGAGGAACACCAGUGGCGAAGGCGACUUACUGGACUGUAACUGACGCUGAGGCGCGAAAGUGUGGGGAGCAAACAGGAUUAGAUACCCUGGUAGUCCACACUGUAAACGAUGAAUGCUAGGUGUAGGGGGUAUCGACCCCUUCUGUGCCGCAGUCAACACAAUAAGCAUUCCGCCUGGGGAGUACGGCCGCAAGGUUGAAACUCAAAUGAAUCGACGGGG